rnacentral:rRNA from 1 species
UACGAAGGGGGCUAGCGUUGCUCGGAAUUACUGGGCGUAAAGCGCACGUAGGCGGCUGUCUAAGUCGGGGGUGAAAUCCUGGAGCUCAACUCCAGAACUGCCUUCGAUACUGGAGAGCUUGAGUCCGGGAGAGGUGAGUGGAACUGCGAGUGUAGAGGUGAAAUUCGUAGAUAUCGCAAGAACACCAGUGGCGAAGGCGGACUCACUGGCCCGGUACGUGACGCUGAGGUGCGAAAGCGGAGGGGAGCAAACGGGAUUAAGAAAACCCGGGU